AAGACUAUGCUUUCAGGGAUGGAUCAUUUCUAUAAUAGGUUACUAGAGAAGUUUCUCUGAUUGUAUAGAGCACCCGAAACCAUGAUGAGGAGCUAUAGCAUCCUCUCCUGAGCGUGAAAACUGACUUUAGGUGUUCCUUCUGCAGCUGCCUUUUGCCGUUGAUGAUUGUUCUUCUCCUUCCUUUGGAAAGUGUAGAGGGAAAGGAUGCAGUCUGAGUGGU